CGGCCACACACCCACACAGGAGCUUCCUCUAUGACUCACCAACCUACUCCCCGGGGAGUCUACACAGAACCCCCCUGCUUGAAGAACAGGAGGUGACAAUGGUCACCAGCGGACUCAUUGUCUAAGCAAAACCCUAUCUCUUUAGGCAAUUUACAUGGAAAUUGCUUCUGGAUUGUAACCUGGCUGCCCCUCACUCAUCCUGGAACAUUCUAGAACUCCUAACAUGUGCCAAUACUGAUAAUGAAGAAGGUUUUGAGAAAUCUCCUCUCUUUAAGGGCAAAGGUCUUUCCCAACUGAUUUCGAGGCCUCUGAAAUGAGACUGACCUGGGUUAAUUCCUGGUUCUGGGCUCUGCCUUGGACAAGUCACCUCCCUUCUCCAAGCCUCAGUUUCCACCUCCAUGCUGUGGGCAUAAAGAGAAAUAAAUGAGAAUCGUCUCAAACACGGUAUGAUAUUUUGAGAAAGAAGAUGUUCACCUGCGCUGCCUUAGUGAUGCUGAUUUUGAUCUCCUGGUGAAGGUUCUCCUUGAAAGAAACAAGUACUCUGUUAGGGGGCAUAUGAAGACCAGU